GCCGGGGUGGUGGAACUGGUAGACACAGGGGACUUAAAAUCCCCUGGCCCCACGGCCGUCCGGGUUCGAGUCCCGGCCCCGGCA
rnacentral:tRNA from 1 species